rnacentral:rRNA from 1 species
AGUGAACGCUGGCGGUAUGCCUAACACAUGCAAGUCGAACGGAAGCACAGUAAGCGCUUGCUCUUACGGGUGGCGAGUGGCGGACGGGUGAGGAAUACAUCGGAAUCUACUUUUUCGUGGGGGAUAACGUAAGGAAACUUACACUACUACAUCAUACGACCUACGGGUGAAAUCAGGGGAUAUUCGGACCUUUCGCGAUUGAAUGAGCCGAUGUCGGAUUAGCUAGUUGGCUGGGUAACGGCCCACCAAGCCGACGAUCCGUAGCGGGCCUGAGAGGAUGAUCAGCCACACUGGAACUGAGACACGGUCCAGACUCCUACGGGAGGCAGCAGUGGGGAAUAUUGGACAAUGGGCGCAAGCCUGACGCAGCAAUACCGCGUGGGUGAAGAAGGUCUUCGGGUUGUAAAGCCCUUUUGUUGGGAAAGAAAAGCAGCAGGUUAAUCCACCGCUGUUCUGACGGUACCCAAAGAAUAAGCACCGGCUAACUUCGUG